GAUGCCAAAAAGGGAGAAAGGGGAAAAUGGGAUUAUACCACCUCAUCACAAAAUGACAAAGGUUAUAACAAAUUUUAUCACAAAAAAAUGGGAGGGGACACGUGGUAGAGGGGGAGUAUUAUUGUUGGGGGUGGGACUCGCAAAAAAAAUGAAAAAGAAUAAAAAUAAGCAAUACACAGAUGGGAUAAACAGAAUAUCGAUAGAGAAAGUGGGGACACGGAAAAGCAGAAUAGAAAACGAAAAGGAAUAGAUAGAGAAUACAUAGAAUAGAGAUAGAGAGAGAAACGAAAAAAAAAAGAAAAAAAAAAAGGAAAAAAGAUCAUCUUCUUCAUUGUUGUUACUCACCUGCAAACAAACCCACCACUACACCACCAUCUUCUUCACCACCUCGCACCCAUCGGAAACCUCCUCAACCACCAUGACCCUUGUUCCCGUCUGAAAACCCAAAAUGAUUAAAAAAAACCAUAACUCAACUUAAACCACCCAUUUAACCACCGAAAAACCCCGCUGAAAAACCCCCAUAAACACCCCAAACCCACACUGUGAAACCAGAUAUAAAACAUCCCUGUUCCACCACCAAAAUCAUAGACCGACCACUAUUUUUCCCGUCUCUGCUUUCGGUUUGGAAUUCCGGGAAAGCUUAAUAUCGUGGUUGAAGAUUGCUCGAGUCGAUGUCUUCGAUCGGCGGUCCUGUUCGUGGUUCAAAAAAUUCAAAAUUGCUUUCCUUGAAUCAACUUGUGGUCGAGUAAUUGAGGUUCUAAUCGCACAGUGAAGAUUCUGGACGAAAUUGGAAGUGAAGCUAAGCGAGCAUAAGGCGCAAUUGAGGUACAGACGCACCUGAAGAUACGCCGCCAGUCUAGGGCUCAGAUUCUGCUAUUUUGAAGAGCUCCUUUGGUCCGGAGCGUGUACUUUUGGUAUAUAUCUUCUGUCUUCUGUAUAUUCUGUAUGUAUGGCAACUCCGGGUACGGCGGGGCCCUGUCCCGUCAUAUGACUCUGUCGGUCUGUUUAGAGGUUUGUGCACAUGUUUGUGGGUUAAGGUCUUUCUGUACGGAUGUGUGUAUAUGUUGUGUUUGGGGCGAUCCCAUUCGCCGCGGCGGCCGGUCCGCAUAUGUUUAUAUGUUGCUUUGUUGGCCGGUGUGGCCUUUGUUGGUAUUUUCUGUGAGCAGGGUUAUUUUGGAUAGUCUGUAAAACAAAGGAAACUCUGCCAAAAAUUUUCUGGAAAUUAUUUAAAUUUGAAAUAUAGC